GCGCCUAUAGCUCAGUUGGUAGAGCGUCUCGCUUAUACCGAGAUGGUCCUUGGUUCGAGUCCAAGUGGGCGCA
rnacentral:tRNA from 1 species